rnacentral:misc_RNA from 1 species
GAUAAGUCCACGAACAUUCAAAAGAUAAGAUGAAGCUGGUGCUGAUUUGCUCUUUCUUUGGCCUCCUGUAAGUUUAAAAUCACUUUUAUGAUUUUGGUUUAAAGGGUUCGGAUCAUGUUCGCAUAGAGGGCAAAUGCAUACGUACGAUAUUAUGACGGACAGUUUCUCCUGUUGGUUAGUGUUUGAAUCUCUCAAACACCCGUCUCUGUUCAAAAGCACCAGCAGCAAAAUUCGAUGCACUUUAACUUUGUUAAAGUAGAACAUUCAAAGGAAUGGCGACGUGUUUAAGUAUGUACGUGUAAAUAACACAUGAUUUAUUACAUGUUAGAACUUUUUGUUUUUCAGUUAUGCCGACUCAGAACCACAAAGAGAAUACAUUUUAUUCGAAAAAGUUGACCAUGACCUCAGUGGCUGCCUUGACCGCAGUGAGGUCGACAACAUCUUUCUUGCCUUUGAUACUGACCGUAGGUUGUUAAAAAAUGCAUAAACUGUCUUUCGUGGCAAAUAAUUGGUCAUACAAAUAUAGAGGUUCUGCUCAAACUACUUCGUGGUUUUUUUUAUUUCGCAGAUAACCAGGAAGUGACGAGAACGGAGUUUGAGAACGAUUGGUUGACUCUGUAUCAGCUUGGAAACGCUCGUGAGGCGAACCUCCUCUUCAACAAGGCCGAUGCUAAUGGCGAUGGUCACUUGACUCACACAGAUAUGCCUUUGAUCUACAGCUACUUCGAUAUGAACAGUGAUGGCUGUGUGGACAUGAACGAGUUUCUAACCCAGUGGGGGGACCUGAAGCUGGCCCCUAUCGACGUGUCUGUCAUAGAUGCCGGGGAUACCACCGUCGCACCUGCUGGCACCACCCAUGCAAACAAUGGACACCAUGGACGUUAAAACACACACUAACUGUAAUGUGGUUCUGAACUUAAGAGUGAUCUGGUCAUUGUAUGCUGUUCAAUAGUUGAAAUACAAGCUUUGUUC